UACGUAGGGUCCAAGCGUUGUCCAGAGUUACUGGGCGUAAAGCGCGCGCAGGCGGCGGUGCUGGCCCGGCGUGAAAGCCCCCGGCUCAACCGGGGAGGGUCGUCGGGGACCGCACCGCUUGAGGGCGGUAGGGGCUGGUGGAAUGCCUGGUGUAGUGGUGAAAUGCGUAGAGAUCAGGCGGAACACCCGUGGCGAAGGCGGCCAGCUGGGCCGUCCCUGACGCUGAGGCGCGAAGGCGUGGGGAGCGAACGGG
rnacentral:rRNA from 1 species